AGUUAUAUUCUCAAAUAAUAGUCACCAUAUAGGUCUAGUAAGUCUCGGGUAUCCAGUACCGUGUUUCCAGAUUUACCGUCUUCAAAGGAAAAUUGUUUCACUAGGCUACACUUGCUCAUUUUACCUAAAAUUUGAGUAUGUUAUUUUUUAAGAUGUUCUCUACAACUUUCAUGAAGAAGUUGAAGUGAGAUUCUCAGUAAAAAGCAACAUGCAACACACAAAACCACCAAGAGGUCGACAAAACAGUUCCAGAUCUAAUGUCUUCAUAGGAGGAGGGUUUCACCCCUUAAAACUCAACCUUUUUGUCUUAAAUUUU
rnacentral:lncRNA from 1 species